rnacentral:rRNA from 1 species
UACGGAGGUGCAAGCGUUACUCGGAAUCACUGGGCGUAAGGAUGCGUAGGCGGAUUAAUAAGUUGGGAGUGAAAUCCUAUGGCUCAACCAUAGAACUGCUUUCAAACUGUUAGUCUAGAAUGUGGGAGAGGUAGAUGGAAUUAGUGGUGUAGGGGUAAAUCCGUAGAGAUCACUAGGAAUACCGAUUGCGAAGGCGAUCUACUGGAACACAAUUGACGCUGAGGCAUGAAAGCGUGGGGAGCAAACAGG